GAAGCCGCGUGAGCGAACCUCGGGUCAGCAGGACGGCUCUGUCCUCUGGCAGCUCGCAAACGCACUGGGAGAGACCUAAGGCCCAGAUUUCCGAGUCCCACCCACCACAGCCCUGGGAUGCACAGACUGACCCGCUGGGUACAGACUCUGCCCUGGACACCCGCGGGAUGGCCAGCGCUUCAAUUCUCUGAAGCUUUUUUCUGCGCCUACGCUGAAGGUCAGAAGGUCUGGAAUCAUCCCUGAAUCCCCCCUAACCACUUGGGCAGGACAUCCUGUAUCCUAGACUCUGACCUCCUCCACCCCACCCUACUGCAGCCAUGUGAUCCAGGCUCUGCCCAGGAGAAGAUAAGUUGACUGUUGCAUUAACAUUUUCUCUGGGGAUGUGAACAAACACCCAGCUCCGAGUAGGAGGGUGCCCACAACAGACCAACAAUCCCACACAAGUCUCCCUCCGUGAACCCGUGAGUUUAUUGGGCUUACUUAUGGCCACGUGGGUGAGGAGUGACUGACAGCUGUCAUAUGUCAAUCUCCCACUGCUGCAUGUGGCCUCUGGGAGUGUUGGAGUAUUUAGGAGGUAGAAAAUGGAAG